GAUGGGAAUGCUCGGCACAGGAUUGCAUCAGUUGCUCCUUGAAGGAGCAUCACUGCCUUGAAGCUUUCUAGAUGAUCGAUGGUUUCCACCAUUCCGUCGUAGCUAUCUAGCUGAGGAAUCUUGAAAUGAUGAGAUAGGGGCUCUUGCAUGAUCUGAGAGUCAAAAGGCAGGUCGUUGAUGAACCCAUCAUACAAUGCUAGUUCCUGAUAGUAGAUCGCCUUGAUCCGCUGGUCCAAGUCUCGAAGAUGCCAC
rnacentral:lncRNA from 1 species